UGAGGAAUAUUGGUCAAUGGGCGCUAGCCUGAACCAGCCAAGUAGCGUGAAGGAUGACUGCCCUAUGGGUUGUAAACUUCUUUUAUAUGGGAAUAAAGUGCAGUAUGUAUACUGCUUUGCAUGUACCUUAUGAAUAAGGAUCGGCUAACUCCGUGCCAGCAGCCGCGGUAAUACGGAGGAUCCGAGCGUUAUCCGGAUUUAUUGGGUUUAAAGGGAGCGUAGGCGGGUUGUUAAGUCAGUUGUGAAAGUUUGCGGCUCAAUCGUAAAAUUGCAGUUGAUACUGGCAUCCUUGAGUACAGUAGAGGUAGGCGGAAUUCGUGGUGUAGCGGUGAAAUGCUUAGAUAUCACGAAGAACUCCGAUUGCGAAGGCAGCCUGCUGGACUGUAACUGACGCUGAUGCUCGAAAGUGUGGGUAUCAAACAGG
rnacentral:rRNA from 1 species